rnacentral:rRNA from 1 species
CUGCUGCCUCCCGUAGGAGUUUGGGCCGUGUCUCAGUCCCAAUGUGGCCGGUCACCCUCUCAGGUCGGCUACUGAUCGUCGCUUUGGUGGGCCGUUACCCCGCCAACUGGCUAAUCAGACGCGGGCCCAUCCCAUACCACCGGAGUUUUUCACACCGGGCCAUGCGGCCCUGUGCGCUUAUGCGGUGUUAGCAGUCAUUUCUAACUGUUAUCCCCCUGUAUGGGGCAGGUUGCCCACGCGUUACUCACCCGUCCGCCACUCAG